rnacentral:lncRNA from 1 species
AUGCCUGAAACCGCAGCAAGACUCCCCACGUGCCUAGUUCUGAGUCGUUCCUCGCACCCGUUGCUGGAGGUGGCCACCACUCCCCAAAUAGUAAGAGGCUUCCAUCCUUCUGCCCCCGCGGCUCAUCGACGCCUGGUCCCACGGCCUUCCGUUCAGCGCCCCUGCCCUCAUCCCGCGGGUUCCCCGCAGGGCACGUCCACACGCUUCCAGCCCCCGGUGCUGUCCCCUGGCCGACGCGCCUCCAGACCUCAUCCACUCCCCGGGAGGCCGCAUCCCGGCCGGGCCCCUCCCUCCUCCGGCCGGGCCGUCUCAGAUGUCCCCACCUGGCUGGGCACACUGCCCCGACCGCGGUCACCUCUGCACUCAGGGGGCCUGGGGACCCCUUAUUCACGGGGGGCCUACCAAGGGAAAGACCAAGCCAGCCGAGGACAACGCGCCUCGGGGAAACUUGGGGGCUACCCGGCCACGGCUGCCCGGAGCCCAGAGCAGGUGCAGGGAGGGCGGCUCGGGCGGCCGAACCGGCGUGGCCCGCGGUCGCGGCCCGGGGACUCCCGCGGUCCCACCUCGGUCCGCACCAUUACCGAGCAGCUCGACCCCUCAGCACGGCGCUCCCACGAGACCCGGCGGACCGCCUCGCCACGGGCGGGGACACAGCACCGGGGCGGGCACCGAGCCCCCAGGACAGGCGGGCGGGCGGGGCAGGCCGGUCAACGCCGCGACCCCGGGGACCCGCCCGGCCCCGCCUAUCCCAGUGCGCCGCCCGCCCGCCGCCCCGGCCGCACCCCCGCCCGCCGCACCUCGCGGCUCCGCUGCGGCCGAGCGCGGGCUCCGGAGGGCCGCGAAAAGGAGGACGCGGGCAGGCGGCCGCGCCGGCGCUUUUCUUGGUCCGGGAACGGGCAGCGAGCACUUCCGCUCCGUCUUGCGCGGCACCGCCUCCGGGGCCUCCAAGAUGGCCGCCGGGGCGGGGCCGAGAGCCUCCAACCAUUUCCGCUUCCGGCGCGGGCGCCCAGCUGUUGGCGGGGCUGUCCUCUCGUCGGAAGGGACGUAAGCGGCGGAAAUACGCCAUGCCGCGCAGGCGCAGGCGCGUCCUCUGGCUCCGGGCCCGGAUAG